rnacentral:rRNA from 1 species
CACCUCGUUGCCAGUUGUAUUUUUCUGGCGAGACCGCCCCGCAAAACGGGGAGGAAGUGGGGAUGACGUCAAGUCAGUAUGGCCUUUAUGCCCUGGGCUACACACACGCUACAAUGGACGGUACAGUAGGUCGCAAGGGAGCGAUCCGGAGCUAAUCCCCAAAACCGUCCUCAGUACAGAUUGCAGUCUGCAACUCGACUGCAUGAAGCCGGAGUUGCUAGUAACCGCAGGUCAGCAAUACUGCGGUGAAUACGUUCCCGGGUCUU